AAAUCACAAGUCUCCACUCUACCUGACUGUUAAUUCACCAGGCCACACCUGAUUGCCUAAGCCACGCCCCCUACACUAUAAAAGCCUGCACCCAAGCCUUUGUUCCUCCUUUUCCCUCCAAACCUGCCAUGUGCCAGUGACUCCCUUUGUUGAAAUGUUUGUAUCACGUUGUUCUGAACUAUUACCUGGAGUGGAUGCAUUAUUGAUGUAAGUAACGCCUUAUUUCUAUAUUAUCUUUAUCAGUGUUAUGCUACAUUGUUUAUUUAGAUAUUUAAUAUCUCCCUUUUUGUCCCUUUUUGUUUGAUAGUACAAAUCAUCCACAUCCGAACUCAGUCCUUUGUCUGCACUGAGCUGAUCCUUCUGUUGAUAAUAAACCUUCGAAACCUGCUCUGGACCCGGCGUGUUUGACUUCACACCACACAUUGUUCAGUGAACUAGCAUCAGGAGAAAACAGACUUUUUACAUGGUCCUUCGAGCCGGAGUGAACAUUGAUGCUGGACAAUGGAUCCGAAUGCAGGUUCUCAAGAGGAUGAGUCUCAGAGCAGAAGGCCACAGCGAGAGCGGGUACCUCCGAGGUAUCUGCAGGACUACCAAACUGAACUUUAUGGCCAGCCAACUAGGCAAUCAAGAGACUCUGCAGAUCCAGAGACCGUUAUACUGAGGCAGGAAUUGGCACAGUUAAAGGGAGUAGUAAAGCAAUUGACGGACAGAGUCGAACAGUAUGAACGUGGCUACUCUGAAGCAGAUUCAGAUGAAGACUGUGAUACCCAGCCCCACAAUGCCCAGUAUGAACGUAACCCACCAUUGAAAACUCUCACAGAGAACCAGUGUGAGAAGUCCCGAUCCGAACCAAACCUGACCGAACCAGUAUCCGCUUUGAAUCCUGGAAAAAUCUCCCAGUCAGCUCAAACCUUAUUUCCCUGGAUUCACGGGCCCUCCCCCUAUGCAGUAUGUGAGCAUAAACGGCCUACCUCAGUCCCCUGUGAAAGACUUCGUCCAGAGUUGCAGCGUCAGGCACCAUCUCCAUCACCUCCAGUUGCAUCUGUUCAGGUGACGUCAAACCCAGCACCUGCCUCACACUGGCCCCAAGGUAAAGCCUCAUCAGUAUCCACCUAUGUACCUUUAAGCUCAGUUCAGCCCUCACAGAUUACUACUGGUCCCAUUCCUGUAUUCCAACCCACCUUUUCUGCACCAGUACACAUACCAACGCAUGUACCACCGGCCUCAUCGCAUGCUUCUUCCUAUAUGAUGUACCCCCCAGUGCUAUCUAAUGUGGCUAGCACAGCAGCAGCUACCUACGGCCCUCACAGUCAGCUCCCAUCUGCUCAAGAAGCUCACCUCCCAGCCUAUGCAAUGCAACCUCCUCGCCUCCCUACCCCUCAGACCCAGUCAGCCUAUUCACAGCCAUCAUCCUACCAUCCCAACACUGCAGCUUUAUACCAGCCUCAACCAUUACCUUCUCUGCCUUCACAGCAGCACCAACCCCACUUCUCUGUACUCCAGCCCCCUUCUGUUUUGUAUGCUCCACAGCCCUCUGGACCCCCUCCAAAUCCAGACUUCUCUCUACCUGUAGUCCCAGUGCAGCAAAUCCCAAACCUUAGACUUCCAUCACGCAUUGAGGGACCCUCAUUCCCAUAUUUCACCCAUAGUGACCCUCAUGAAUUUGUAAUGUUAAAGAUGGCUUUCACCAACCUUCUCCCAGCAGAUGAACCUGAGCUGUACAAAUAUCACAUCCUACUGGACCAUCUACGCCUCCCAUCUGCCCGUUAUAUUGCACUAUCCUAUGCCCAUGACCGACAGCCCUUCACUAUGGCGCUAGCAGCCCUAGAGCGCCAAUAUGGUCAACCUCACCAACUAGCCCUGAAAGAAAUACAGUGUAUUUUAAACCUCCCUAGAGUAGGCCGAGGAGAUGCAGAAGGGUUUCAAGCCUUUGCAGUUAGAGUGAGAUCCUUAGUGGGCAUGCUACAAUCGCUGAACUCACCGGAAGGAGCUGCAGAACUCGCCUGUUCUUCACAUGUUCAGCGAUUGUUGGGUAAACUCCCGGUGGAUUUAGUGGCUAAUUAUGCCAGACAUGCCCGUUCAACCUCCCCUUACGUUCAUUAUAACCUGGUUGCCUUUUCUGCAUGGUUGGAGGGAGAAGCAGAAUGUCAGGCAGUCAUAACUCAGACCAACAGUCUUCAACUUGAUGUACCCCCGGUUCAAAGGAGAGAACCAGCCCCCAGAUACAGGCCUCCAUCUACCACCAUUCUCUAUGGAGCUGAACAUGUAUUGCCACAUGCACGCACUGUACCUGGAUAUCAGCGACAACCUCAAACAAGGUACCCAUGUACAUACUGUAAUUCAACCUCCCACUACCUGACACACUGUAACAGUUUAAAGGACUUAAGUACCGAUAAAGUCAUGGAAUGGUUAAAUGAUCACAGAAGAUGCUGGAGAUGCGGCAGAAACCACAGAGCAAUAGAUUGUACACUAAGAAAACCUUGUCCUAAAUGUAAUGGCCAGCACCUAGGCAUAUUCCAUGAUGUUAAUAAAGCCCAAACAGCAUCCAGAGUUUUUUACCUAAACCCACAAAGCAUGUCACCCAAAGUACUACUGAAAGUGGUGAAAGUAAGACUCAUCAACAAGAACAAGAUCUUCGACACCUACGCCAUCUUAGACGAUGGCUCAGAACGUACCAUGCUGUUGCCAGGUGCUGCAGAGUAUCUUGGUCUUAGAGGGGAGCCAGAGAAACUGGAGCUGCGCACAGUCAGACAGCAGACAGAGACUCUGUAUGGUAGGACUGUGAACCUGAAGCUCUCUGCUGCCUCCUGCCCUGAGAGGAAGUUCUCCAUGGACCGUGUUUUCACCUCCGACAACAUCUCAUUCGUCGAGCAAAGCUAUCCAGUUGACAAACUUAAACAGCGUUACCAACAUCUGCAAGGCCUGCCGUUAAGCCCCUUCUCAAAGGUUCAACCUCACAUCCUCAUAGGAUCUGACAACCCAUUCCUCAUUACACCCAUAGAAAGAGUCCAUCACGGUCCAAAGGGAGCACCAGCAGCAGUGAAGACGAGGCUUGGAUGGGCCCUACAGGGGCCUACUUCUCUUGGGGAGUCAUCAGAACCUACCCAAUGUCUGUUUACCUUACAAGCCAGCCCCUACACUGAUCUGAAACAACAUGUAGAAAAGUUGUGGCAAGUUGACACCCUUCCCUUCAGGAAUGAAAAGUUAAUCACUAGAUCGAAACAAGACCAGGAGGCAAUCAACCUUUUAAAUGCAAAGACCACAAGAUUGCACAUUGAUGGAGCUGAACGCUAUGCUACUCCUCUGUUAAAGACAGCUCCCCCUGAAUUCAAAGCUCCAUAUGAAUCAGUAAUGCCCCUUCUCCGACGAUCGGAGCGAAAAAGUCAAUGGCCUGCCAGCCCUGCCCAUGCUAUAGACACAGCUACAGAGCAACAAAAACCCUUGUUUUGCGGCCUCACACAACCUGCUAAGCCCCUCAACCUGCCUGAUUCAAAUGGAUAUGCCACCUGGACAGACCUGGUAAGUGCAACAUGUAAAUCAAUGCAAGACUUACCCUGUCGCCAGAUUUCUGACCCCCAGGACUUACCAAGAACCAAGGCGGAAGAUGCAUUGAUUUCUCAAGCUCAGUCUGAGAGUUUCCCAGAAGGAAUCUUAAACCCCAAACGAAGUGGAUAUGCAACAUCAGACAUAGAAGAUCCUGACCCCAUAACACCAAACCUCCUUCUCACGGGGCGGCGUGACCCUUCCCUUACGCAGGCUGUUUAUGCAGAUAAAAAUCUGAUUGGAAGGCGAAGAUGGAGACACAGCCAAAUACUGGCUGAUCGGUUUUGGUACGUCUUCAUCAGACACUACCUUAGGUCACUUCUGGGGAAAGGAGGUUUGUUGGACCGGUGGCCCGACUGUACAGGCUCUCAGCGGCUGAGUUGGACCCCAGAGACUGACUUUUUGAUUUGUUGAAUUCAAAUGUACCCAUUUGAAGGGGCGGCUGUUAAAUCACAAGUCUCCACUCUACCUGACUGUUAAUUCACCAGGCCACACCUGAUUGCCUAAGCCACGCCCCCUACACUAUAAAAGCCUGCACCCAAGCCUUUGUUCCUCCUUUUCCCUCCAAACCUGCCAUGUGCCAGUGACUCCCUUUGUUGAAAUGUUUGUAUCACGUUGUUCUGAACUAUUACCUGGAGUGGAUGCAUUAUUGAUGUAAGUAACGCCUUAUUUCUAUAUUAUCUUUAUCAGUGUUAUGCUACAUUGUUUAUUUAGAUAUUUAAUAUCUCCCUUUUUGUCCCUUUUUGUUUGAUAGUACAAAUCAUCCACAUCCGAACUCAGUCCUUUGUCUGCACUGAGCUGAUCCUUCUGUUGAUAAUAAACCUUCGAAACCUGCUCUGGACCCGGCGUGUUUGACUUCACACCACACAUUGUUCAGUGAACUAGCAUCAGGAGAAAACAGACUUUUUACAGAGACCAUGAUUCUAAGGAACCCCUGAAGCCCUGUUAAAAUUGUCUUUUUAUGCUGACGACAAAUCUUUAGUGCAUUGGGAAAAAUGUUCAACAGCUUCUGAAGACAGUAGAAAGUAAAUUAAAUUACUUUUUUCAUUCUGACAAGUUGUCAAUGAACUUAAGCAAAAAAUACAUUUUAUAGUUUUUGGUGCCUGGCAAACAAAACUGAAGUUAAACUUUGGAUUAAUGAUGUUAAAAAUAGAAAGGGGAUAUGAAAAUAAACUUAGCUAGACGCCACAUAUAAUAAUGUCAAAAGUAAAAUGUCAAAAAUCAUAACCAUAUUAUAGCUAAGGAUUUAUUGAAUCAGAAUUCCAUAUACAAACUAUUCUUUGAUUGUCAGGCCCUCCAGCUCUGCUUAGUGGCAGUCUCUCCCUUCCCCCCUCCUUUCCCUCCUUUUUCCUUUUUCCCCAGGUGAGCGUGAUUGAAGUGUGUGAAUGCAGACAGGUGCAGGCGAUUGGCAAUUACUAGAGUGGUCAACCAGAAACUAAUGUCCUCUGCCAUAAAAGCCUGACUUCAGAAACAACUCGGAGCCAGACCAUUAUCUUGAACCAACUCUGCCUGCCCUGUUUGAAGCUUCACCUGAUCCUGCACAUACUCUGGAAUUCCUUCAGCCAUGCUGCACACCUCCUCAGCCUGCCUUCCCUCAAGACUCUUCCCUUUUUCAGACUGUCAGCCAAGGUUCCCUGUUCUCUCUCUGGGUCAGCUUUGUAGUGUUGAGAGUUUUUAGUUGUUUUGCCCUGCCUCUUUUGUUUCCAUUUUCUUAUGCCAGUGCUUACUGUGAUCUUUUGUUGUAGAAUCAAAUCAUUAGAGCGUUUUAGUUGCUUUUAAAUUAUGUCAGUUUUUUGGGGUGACCGUGCCAUUUAUCCUAGUUUAUUGGACAUGGUUGGAGUGAGUAUAAACAGCGUAUCACCUUUUGCAGGACUUCAGAGUUAUGAUACAGUUUUAAUUUUUACUGUAUUUUUUUUCUGUCUUAUUUACAAAUGUCUCAGAUAAAACACACCUCUUCAUUCAUAUAAUGCUGAAACUACAAAUAGAUUAAAAUGCAGUCUAAACUAUAGCAUACCUGGUAUUGCAGAAGGGGUCAAAGGCUUCACUGUAAAACCCUGGAUAGGAUACUUCAGAGGAGAGUUAGGUGCAGCAUACAGCUUUUUAGAUAACACUGAUGUUGUUCUGUUGGGGAAAUGGGGGAAAGUGGUGAUGAGGCUGGGGUCAUUUGGUUAUUUGAGGUGUUAAGAAGAGUGUUUGUGAGCUUGGUGUUGGUGCUAGUUUGUCAAGUCUUGAUUAUUAGGGCCCCUGACUCGACUUGGACUCCAGCACUGAUAACUCUACGUUGUCAUAAGCAUUGGCUGCUUUCUGGAUCAGAAGUUGUAGAGGAACCCACUUGAUGCUGGCCCGUUUUAUUCAGCAGAAGAACAUCAAGGAGAUGCUGAAGUUACUUGGAUGUAGGAAGUAUAACCAAAUGAGUCAGUAGAAUCUUUAUUAAGAUUUUUUGGGCAGAAACCUUGUAUCUCCAUAAUUUAUUUUUUUUAAAUCCAUUUAUCAAUACUAUUGAUCUUCCUUUAUGUCUGUCAGAGGGCUUUCUAAAAUAUAACAGAUGGAAGUAUUUAAAAAAAGAUGUAGUGCAGUGUUUUAGUUAGUUAAAAAGCAUAGUUUUUUUUACUUUCUGGAUAGUAGUGGUUGGGGAGAUACAGGGUUUGUGCCCGACAGUGGUGAUAUGCUGAGUAACAUGCAAAAAAACUUUCACCAUAAAGGUAUUGGUAGCUGCUAGCAACUAAACAAUGUAUACAUGUGCACGUUUGUGAAAUAAAUGAUUGUUGGUC